rnacentral:rRNA from 1 species
AGGAUGAACGCUGGCGGCGUGCCUAAUGCAUGCAAGUCGCACGGUCGGGCUUCGGCCCGGUAGUGGCGAACGGCUGAGGAACACGUACGAACCUACUCCUGUGUGGGGGACAACUCGGCGAAAGCCGCGCUAAUCCCGCAUAUGCUCUUCGGAGGAAAGCGUGGAAACACGCGCACAGGAUUGGGCGUGCGGCCCAUCAGGUAGUUGGUGAGGUAAUGGCCCACCAAGCCGAUGACGGGUCGCUGGUCUGAGAGGACGACCAGCCAGACUGGGACUGUGACACGGCCCAGACUCCUACGGGAGGCAGCAGCAAGGAAUUUUCGGCAAUGGGCGCAAGCCUGACCGAGCAACGCCGCGUGGAGGAUGACGGCUUUCGGGUUGUAAACUCCUUUUGCCUAGGGAAGAUACGGACGGUACCUGGCGAAUAAGCCCCGGCUAACUCUGUGCCAGCAGCCGC